rnacentral:lncRNA from 1 species
CACCGCAGAACCUGGAGUGAGACAGUUCUCUUUGUAGGCUUAAGCUUCCUCAUCUGUAAAACAUAAUGAGGCUACUAAUGAAAAUAACUCCCAGUUUGCAAUUAUAUGACUGAGUCUGUGCUCCCCUAGAGCACUAUACCAAAACAAUAUACCUUAUUUAAUUCUUAAAACAAGCCAAUGCUGUCAUUAUCCCCACUGAACACUUAAAUAAAUGGACAUAAGCAUGGUCACCAGAGUCCAAACCUUCAGAUUCAGAAAGCUACUCCAGGCCCUCCUUGGUCUCAGCCGACUGAGAAGUUUAGAGGACAGGAACCAUGAGUUUCAGUGCUCAAGGUUCCUGCUCACUGGGAAUCCUCGUAGGAAGUCUUACUGUAAUCCACUUCCCAGUCCCUUGAGCCACCAGCAGAUGUCUUCUCCCCAUGUGGCAACUGGGGUGCCAAGAGAUGAGACUCACCUUGGUCAUCUGUGGGACUGGCCCUCAGUCCAAAUUCUCAUGACCCACAGAAACUAGUAUUGCUCAUGUAAUAGUUUAUACACAGAGUUUCCAGGGACAUGUCAGGAGAGCCCCCAAGCUCAGGGAAGCCCAAAGUUUGGCCUCCUCAUCAGGUAUUCGUUAUUUAUAGUCCUUCCAGCCUAGUUGCAAUUUACCAAUCAGGGGCCCUUUUUACUAUGAGCAAUAUUACCUAGCAAUAUUGUCAACAUUUUAACUUUUAUCAUCUUCCCAGGGAACCUAUUCAGAGAGUUAAGCACAAGUUAAUUUUCCAUGCAGAAGGAGGAAGAGUUUUAUAAAUGUUUGCCUACAAGACACUUCUCCAAAGUCACAGAGCAGAUAGCAGAGGAGCUGGCACUUGACCCCAAUCUGACUCUAGAGUCUCACCCUGCUCACUGCCCCACAGCUACACUAGUCUCUUUUGUGUUCUUCAGACAUUUAAAGCAGAUUCCUACUCCCUUGAUUUCUUUGUACUCUCCCAUGAAUGCUCUUCCCCUGCUAUUCAUAGAGUAGCUUCCAUCUCUUGAUUCAAGGUUGGCUCCAAUGCCGCCUCCCCUUUGAACACUCUCGAUUUUUUUGACCAUCCCUUCCUUCUCUGUGAUUACCUUAUAAUUUUCUUUUGGAUCACAAUGCUUUGUUUCCUUUCCCACAUUUCACUCUCUGAAAAUAUUAUGUUUAUUUUUUACUUAGGUAUUGUGUCCUCCUCACAAAAAUGGAAGCCCCAUGAGGCGGGUUAUUUGAAUUACUUAUUCACUGUUGUCUCACUAGUACCCAGCAGACUAGUUCCUGGCAUGUAAUGGGCAUCGUGUGAUUGACUGAAAUAUGCUGCUCUUCUGCCCAGUUUAUCUAUCAUGUACAGCUCUUGGGAAAUUCAGAGAAGCAUAUCCAAACAUGUUUAUUUGGAAAGAAGUAUAAAAAUACAAAAUAUAAUUCUGCCCAAGUAAGAAACUAAACUGCUUUUAGGUAAAACAUCUAGGCAAAAGCUUAAUCUUCAUUCAUUUAAAAACACUUUUAUUACAUGUUGGUUAUGAACAAGUCAUGCUGUUUUAGGAUCUAUAGUGAACUCCAAAGAAAUAAAACCAUGAAUCUGUUUUGCGCUUAUCAAAUUGCAUUUCAUUUAAUUUUUCACAGUUUCUCUGCACCUGGCUUAUAAACAGUUUAAUUAAAUUUUAUAUUGCUAGUGUGGUUUCAAAAAUCAGAUGCAUGUAUCUCAGUGAAAAUGAAUUAUUACAAUGAUUUCUAUUCAUUUUAGUCUCUAUAUUUUAAAACUAUUUCUAUAUUUUUAUGUAUAAUGACGGUGGUGUUCAUGUCAUAGGCUAUGCAUAUAAUUAUAAAAUAAAUAUAUGUUGAGAUGCAUACUCAAAAUUUUGCUUGUGGGCUCUGCAUUUGCAGUAAAAAAUGUUUAAAGUCCAUUGGAAUAGAAGAUUCAGACACAUAAGAGACUCAAUUUUGUAUUAUUAUUUUGCAAGUGGAUUAUAUGAUUGGAUUCCUGCAGAUGGGGUGUGUGCAAGUAUGUAAUUCAUUUUUUCAAUAUAUGUUAUCACGCUUUAUGAAGGAUGCAGGACAUCUUCUAUUGGAAUAUGGAGGAAGGAAAGGUAACUUCUGCCUAGGGAAAGCCAAAGCAUUGGAAUUGGCAUUUGCCUUUGGAAUGUGGAUAUGAUUUAAUCAAAUCCAGAUAGGGAAGAUGCUCAUUCUGGGAUCUGUUGUAAGCAAAACAGAAAAACUGGACUAAGCCUCCUGUGUUCAAGAAAUGUAGGAAGUUCCCAUUGUGGCUCAAUGGUAACAAGCCUGAUUUGUAUCCAUGAGGAUGCUGGUUGGAUCCCUGGCUUCAAUCAGUGGGUGAAGGAUCUGUCAUUGCCGUCAGCUGUGGUGUAGGUCACAGACGUGGCUCGGAUCCAGCAAUGCUGUGGACUGUGGUGUAGGCCAGCAGCUGUAGCUCAGAUUUGACCCCUAGCCUGGGAACUUCCAUAUGCCACAACUUGCCCCCCCCCCAAAAAAACUGUAAAUUAUCCAGUAGGGAGGAAGAGGUUUAUUAAUAGGAGGAUAAUAGAGAGCAAUAAGAAGAGCUCCCCCUGGUGGCAUAGUGGGUUAAGGAUCUGGUGUUGUCAUUGCUGUGGCUUGGUCUGAUCCCUGGCCCAAGGACUUCCACCUGCUCUGGGUGUGGCCAAGAAAAAAAAAAAAAAAAAAAAAAAAA